rnacentral:rRNA from 1 species
GGGGGGGGCAAGCGUUGUUCGGAAUUACUGGGCGUAAAGGGCUCGUAGGCGGCCAACUAAGUCAGACGUGAAAUCCCUCGGCUUAACCGGGGAACUGCAUCUGAUACUGGAUGGCUUGAGAUUGGGAGAGGGAUGCGGAAUUCCAGGUGUAGCGGUGAAAUGCGUAGAUAUCUGGAGGAACACCGGUGGCGAAGGCGGCAUCCUGGACCAACACUGACGCUGAGGAGCGAAAGCCAGGGGAGCGAACGGGAUUAGAUACCCCGGUAGUCCCGGCCCUAAACGAUGAAUGCUUGGUGUGGCGGGUAUCGAUCCCUGCCGUGCCGAAGCUAACGCAUUAAGCAUUCCGCCUGGGGAGUACGGUCGCAAGGCUG